CAAACUUAAUGGUUACCAAAGAGGAGAGGAGGAGGGAUCAAUUAGGAGUUUGGGGAUUAACAUACACAUCCUACUAUAUAUAAUAAAACAGAUAACCAACAAUAUGUACAGAGAACUGCUCAAUGUUCUAUAAUAACCUAUGGGAAAAGAAUCUGAAAAAUAGAUAUAUGUAUAACAGAAUCACUUUGCUAUACAGCUGAAACUAACAUUGUAAAUCAACUACUCCAAUGUAAAAUAAAAAUUGAAUUAAAAAGAAAUAGCAUCGUGAAAAAGUAUUCAUCGAUAAUUAGUUUAUAUAGUUAAAAUAUUUUUAUUUUAAAGAAAUAAAAAUUUAGCUGAACAGUUGGAUUUUCCUGAGUAUAUGUGGGAAUUUUUGCCUUAACAACUUGUAGAGAUUUUGUGUGCCUUGAAAUCACAUUUCUGUAUAAUAUUUGAUAUGCUUAGGAAACUUUGUGUUAUAAGCCUGGAAUCUGAACCUUUGAAAAUGGGUUACAAAGCUACUAAUUCUUACUAUAAAUCAUAGACUUCUUAGAUAGAUUUUGGGAAUGUACUUAAAAAAAUUAUAAUACUGGCCAUGAUAAAUGGCCAUUUUUCUGCCACUAAUUGGGUAAUCAAACUGUCACAUUUUAAAGGAUUCCCUUUGGUUUAAUAUCUGCAGAUCUAGUCACCCUGUCACUCUGUGGCUGCCGCAGUGCACAAGUUACCGUUCAACCUUCUCCUUUUCUCCAAGAUGGAGAGUUUGGUCAGAGGUUACUGUGAGGCUUAAAGAACUGGCUUCUUUUCCUGUAGCUGGUAAACCUAUGGAACUUUGGUAUAUCAGAUAUUUGCUAUAGCUUAUAUAUUUUUAUACUUUUGCAAUAACUUAGAUUCUUUGUUUCUUUUAUAGGACAAUGAAGGUCAAACAGCUCUACAUUAUGCUGCUGCCUGUGAGUUUUUGGACGUUGUGGAGCUGCUGCUCCAGUCCGGGGCCGACCCCACGCUCCGAGACCAGGACGGCUGCCUGCCAGAGGAGGUGACAGGGUGCAAAGCAGUUACUUCUAUGUUACAGCAGCACACGACAGGCAAGGCUUAAUCAAAAGACUGCAAAACUACGGCCCACAAUGGCGCAGGGCUCCAGUGGUGGAAGAAAACUGCAAAAAUGACACGUCUUUUGCCGCCCAUCUUUGGUAUUUGUUGGCUAAUAAAAUCAGUUGGAGGAACUGGAA